rnacentral:rRNA from 1 species
UACGUAGGGGGCUAGCGUUGUCCGGAAUCAUUGGGCGUAAAGCGCGUGUAGGCGGUCCGGUAAGUCCGCUGUGAAAGUCGGGGGCUCAACCCUCGAAUGCCGGUGGAUACUGUUGGGCUAGAGUGCGGAAGAGGCGAGUGGAAUUCCUGGUGUAGCGGUGAAAUGCGCAGAUAUCAGGAGGAACACCAAUUGCGAAGGCAGCUCGCUGGGACGUUACUGACGCUGAGACGCGAAAGCAUGGGGAGCAAACAGG